GCGGUUGUAGUUCAACGGAUAGAACACGAACCUUCUAAGUUUGGGAUGGGGUUUCGAUUACCUUCAGCCGCACCA
rnacentral:tRNA from 1 species